rnacentral:rRNA from 1 species
CCCUUCGGGGUACUCGAGUGGCGAACGGGUGAGUAACACGUGGGUGAUCUGCCCUGCACUUUGGGAUAAGCCUGGGAAACUGGGUCUAAUACCGAAUAGGACCACGCGCUUCAUGGUGUGUGGUGGAAAGCUUUUGCGGUGUGGGAUGGGCCCGCGGCCUAUCAGCUUGUUGGUGGGGUAAUGGCCUACCAAGGCGACGACGGGUAGCCGGCCUGAGAGGGUGACCGGCCACACUGGGACUGAGAUACGGCCCAGACUCCUACGGGAGGCAGCAGUGGGGAAUAUUGCACAAUGGGCGCAAGCCUGAUGCAGCGACGCCGCGUGAGGGAUGACGGCCUUCGGGUUGUAAACCUCUUUCAAUAGGGACGAAGCGCAAGUGACGGUACCUAUAGAAGAAGCACCGGCCAACUACGUGCCAGCAGCCGCGGUAAUACGUAGGGUGCGAGCGUUGUCCGGAAUUACUGGGCGUAAAGAGCUCGUAGGUGGUUUGUCGCGUUGUUCGUGAAAACUCACAGCUUAACUGUGGGCGUGCGGGCGAUACGGGCAGACUAGAGUACUGCAGGGGAGACUGGAAUUCCUGGUGUAGCGGUGGAAUGCGCAGAUAUCAGGAGGAACACCGGUGGCGAAGGCGGGUCUCUGGGCAGUAACUGACGCUGAGGAGCGAAAGCGUGGGGAGCGAACAGGAUUAGAUACCCUGGUAGUCCACGCCGUAAACGGUGGGUACUAGGUGUGGGUUCCUUCCUUGGGAUCCGUGCCGUAGCUAACGCAUUAAGUACCCCGCCUGGGGAGUACGGCCGCAAGGCUAAAACUCAAAGGAAUUGACGGGGGCCCGCACAAGCGGCGGAGCAUGUGGAUUAAUUCNNUNCAACGCGAAAGACCUUANNNGGGUUUGA